rnacentral:rRNA from 1 species
UACGUAGGGUGCAAGCGUUAAUCGGAAUUACUGGGCGUAAAGCGUGCGCAGGCGGUUGUGCAAGACCGAUGUGAAAUCCCCGGGCUCAACCUGGGAAUGGCAUUGGUGACUGCACGGCUAGAGUGUGUCUGAGGGGGGUAGAAUUCCACGUGUAGCAGUGAAAUGCGUAGAGAUGUGGAGGAAUACCGAUGGCGAAGGCAGCCCCCUGGGAUAACACUGACGCUCAUGCACGAAAGCGUGGGGAGCAAACAGG